GAAAGAGAACACUUGAGAGUCUGCAGAGGGCUUGGCAAGACAAAGACCCUGGAAAACAUUUUGGAUUUCGCCUGUAGUGCUCAGAUUUCAUGCUUCAGAGGCUCUUCUGACGUUUGUAAGCUGCAGUCAUCCCUCUUACUUCAUAGCAUUUUAACAACUAUUUUCCGUUCAUUAAAAAAGGGCUGAUGUCUCACUCAUGCAUCAUGAAGACAGACAAUCACACCCUGGAAUUGUGCAAUUCACCCAGUAGCUUGCCCCAAGAAUAGAAGGACAAAGCUAUUCUGAAGAUAAUGAAGGAAGAGCCAAUAGACUGUCAAGGGAGAGCUGCACUGGCAAUGAUGAAAGCAAGGAAGGUGGUAGAGCCACCAAGAAUGAGACAAGAACUAGGAUACUUUGGAACGAAAGGAAUCAGUGGAUUUAUUCAUUGGAGUGAUGGAGAGGUGCUCUCAGGUUAAAAAGAUAUGUCCAAUUUAACUGCUGCCGAAGAGGGUCACUAAGUAGUUGGUCUAUGAUUCCAGAGUCUUGAAGGAGGAUUCUGCUUCCUUUCCCCUACAAAAUGGUUUGGAAGACAAUCCUGUUUUUCUUCAAUGACAGGGAUACAGUGACUGAGGUAUGGAUGAACUGAAAUACAUCUUUUGUGGGAGGGGGAAAGGAUUAGAAACCAUCAACAUGCUGUGGUGUACUGAACAGUAUGCCACAUUUUCCAAGUGAAAAGAGGAAAUCUUUAAAGUUGGGAUUUGCUUAGUAUGUGCCCCAGUACCUAUGUUUGGCUCAGCAUCCACAAAUUCUUGCUUCUCAGGACCUUUUUAAAAAACAAACAAACAGUUCCUCUAUGUGAACUGAGUUUGCAUUGAUUAGUGAAAAAUCUUUAAUGAAAGCAAACUUGACAUCAUUUCCAUUGAUAAUAAACCUAUUAAAAAGAAGCA
rnacentral:lncRNA from 1 species